UUCGGGUUCAGCCCAUAUAGUUGUGACAUUUAGUUGAGUAUGUAUGUAUUUGCCACUCUGCUGGGAGUUUGUGAAGACUGAGAUGCUGCGCUUUUCUUGGCAUGAGCCUGAUUUGCGGGAGCUUGCAUGGCAGUGUGUAAAUUAUACCUUCCCUGCUCCGAUCUGGCAUGCCGCCAGGCCCCCCAGGGCUGUGUUCUCUCCAUGAAGGGCAGUUGGUGAAAACAUUGCUGCUCUUGCUGUGGCAUGGGGUGCUUUAGCUUUUCCCUGGGCCUCCACAGGAGGAUCACCAACUGAGUGAAUGUGUUGAUGCCCUGGUCCACUGCUAGUAUUUGGAACAGGCAAAGAAAGAGAUAUAAAAUAAAUAACGGUAUGGAUUUUUUUCGAGAUUCACAACCACAGAAAUCCACAACAUCAAUAUUUUGAAAACCUUCCGUCUCCCACAAGUUCCUAGGGUUUUCUCUUACUGUUGCAUAUGUGUUUUCUUUCUCUCUGUGGGUUACCUUCUCCCUCUAGGGACUUUGCUGCCAUAACCAUCCUUCAGGGACUCUUUAGAACUUGGUCAACCCCGCUCCUUAGUGUGCCUGCAUGGAAAAUCACUGGAGAGCAACACAAAGUACUAAGUGUGUAUCAGCAAUCCAAGUGAACACUCCUUCAUCAGUGCUUCCAGCUCAGGGAGUGAGUUUUUUCACAGGAGGGUUUGCAUUGCUAUUAAAAAAAAAAAAAAAAAAAAAAAAAAAAAUCUGGUUUACAGUGGGAGCAGGCAUAUCUGAGGAAAGAAAUGCAUUGUUCUGAAAAUAGAAAUUGCUGCCAUUACACACUUGAUAUUGUAAUUACAAACAGAAAAUAGCUACAAAAGAAAAUGCUUUAAAAAAGCCAUGAUUUGAGCCCUGCCCUCUGCCUUAUGGAGAUCUCAUAGACCUUGGUAAUGCAUAUACUUUCCUUUCUGUCUGGAUACUUUCUAUUCCGGCAAGAAACCUGCACAUUCCUGUUCCAGAUCUGAGGAUUCAGCCAAAUAACUGAGUACUGUGCAUCAUUCAGAUUU
rnacentral:lncRNA from 1 species